AAAAAAAAGAGUUUGAUCGUGGCUCAGGAUAAACGCUGGCGGCGUGCAUGAGACAUGCAAGUCGAACGAACGAGCUUGCUCGUUAGUGGCGGACGGCUGAGUAACGCGUAGGUGACCUGCCCCGAAGUGGGGGAUAACUGCCCGAAAGGGUGGCUAAUACCGCAUGUGGCGACACUUUCAUUGGUGUCAUCAAAGCCGCGAGGCGCUUCGGGAGGGGCCUGCGUCCGAUUAGCUCGUUGGUGGGGUAAUGGCUCACCAAGGCGACGAUCGGUAGGUGGUCUGAGAGGACGAUCACCCAGACUGGGACUGAGACACGGCCCAGACUCCUACGGGAGGCAGCAGUCGGGAAUUUUGCUCAAUGGGCGCAAGCCUGAAGCAGCAACGCCGCGUGCGGGAUGAAGGCCUUCGGUU
rnacentral:rRNA from 1 species